rnacentral:rRNA from 1 species
UACAGAGGUCCCAAGCGUUGUUCGGAUUCACUGGGCGUAAAGGGUGCGUAGGUGGUGAGGUAAGUCGGAUGUGAAAGCUCGGAGCUCAACUCCGAGUCGGCCGUGCGAACUGGGCUCACUGGAGCAUAGUAGAGGCAGGUGGAAUUCCGGGUGUAGCGGUGGAAUGCGUAGAGAUCCGGAAGAACACCGGUGGCGAAGGCGGCCUGCUGGGCUAUGGCUGACACUGAGGCGCGACAGCGUGGGGAGCAAACAGG